rnacentral:rRNA from 1 species
AGUGAACGCUGGCGGCGUGCCUAAUACAUGCAAGUCGAACGGAGUGGCGCACGGGUGAGUAAUAUAUAGCUAAUCUGCCCCUUGCUGGAGGACAACAGUUAGAAAUGACUGCUAAUACCCCAUAGCAAGGGAUGAGACUAUAUCGUAUCAGCUAGUCGGUGGGGUAACGGCCUACCGAGGCUAUGACGCGUAACUGGUCUGAGAGGAUAAUCAGUCACAGUGGAGCUGAGACACGAUCCAGACACCGUCGGGAGGGAGCAGUAGGCAAUAGUGCGCAAUGGGGGUAGCUCUGACGCGGCACCGCCUGGUGGAGGAUGACACUUGUCGGGGCGUACACUCCUUUUGUUAGGUAAGCGGUACCUAACGAAUAAGCACCGGCUAACUCCGUGCCAGCCGCCGCGGUAAUUC